CCUACGGGGGGCUGCAGUCGGGAAUUUUGGGCAAUGGGCGAAAGCCUGACCCAGCAACGCCGCGUGAAGGAUGAAGUAUUUCGGUAUGUAAACUUCGAAAGAAUGGGAAGAAUAAAUGACGGUACCAUUUAUAAGGUCCGGCUAACUACGUGCCAGCAGCCGCGGUAAUACGUAGGGACCAAGCGUUGUUCGGAUUUACUGGGCGUAAAGGGCGCGUAGGCGGCUUUGUAAGUCACUUGUGAAAUCUCCGGGCUUAACUCGGAACGGCCAAGUGA
rnacentral:rRNA from 1 species